rnacentral:sRNA from 1 species
UCUCGUUUAAACGACGCAUUCCCAAACCUCUAAUACGUCCUUGUAACCCUUUAGUUACGCCAGUUUUGAAUAAACUUCUUCAAAAGAAG